rnacentral:misc_RNA from 1 species
UGUUUACUUUGGUCCUGGAUUCGUGAAGAAUUCUUCUUUUCUGUAGACAACACAAAAUGAUUAUAUCUGGAUGGUAAGAUGUGGCAAACCCAGGCCUGCUAUUACUCCCAACCUCAUUGUCUCGUAGAGACAGGCCUCGGUGUAAGGCAGCGACUGCCUGUCGGCGAUGGAUGGACAACGUCUACCUAUCAGAAGUCAAGGAUUUAAAAAAAGAAGUCGAAACCACGCUCACAUGUCACUGAAGUGGGGCGUCCAGCAAAAUCUGCCUUUCUCUUCACCAAGGCUUCUAUCACAACCUCAUAGUUGUUUAGAAAGACAGUUGGGAUAGGUCCUGUGUGCAAACAACAAGGAUGAGGGCAUACAAUAAACAGAAGGAACAUGAUCAUUAGAAAUAAUCAUUUCACAUGGAACACAUGGACGAGCAUGUUUGAUUUAUGAUGUCCAAAACAAGUAAAAACUUACCGAAAUAAAAUUGAAUGACUGGAC